rnacentral:rRNA from 1 species
UGGGGAAUAUUGGACAAUGGGCGCAAGCCUGAUCCAGCAAUGCCGCGUGGGUGAAGAAGGUUUUCGGAUUGUAAAGCCCUUUUGGCAGGGACGAUGAUGACGGUACCUGCAGAAUAAGCCCCGGCUAACUUCGUGCCAGCAGCCGCGGUAAUACGAAGGGGGCUAGCGUUGCUCGGAAUGACUGGGCGUAAAGGGCGCGUAGGCGGCGAUCAAAGUCAGGCGUGAAAUUCCUGGGCUCAACCUGGGGGCUGCGCUUGAUACUUGGUUGCUUGAGUGGGGAAGAGGGUCGUGGAAUUCCCAGUGUAGAGGUGAAAUUCGUAGAUAUUGGGAAGAACACCGGUGGCGAAGGCGGCGACCUGGUCCUUGACUGACGCUGAGGCGCGAAAGCGUGGGGAGCAAACAGGAUUAGAUACCCCGUAGUCC